AUGGGCAUUCGAGUCAGGUUCUGA
rnacentral:siRNA from 1 species